rnacentral:rRNA from 1 species
AUUGAACGCUGGCGGCAUGCCUUACACAUGCAAGUCGAACGGUAACAGGUCUUCGGAUGCUGACGAGUGGCGAACGGGUGAGUAAUACAUCGGAACGUGCCCGAUCGUGGGGGAUAACGGAGCGAAAGCUUUGCUAAUACCGCAUACGAUCUACGGAUGAAAGCAGGGGACCGCAAGGCCUUGCGCGGACGGAGCGGCCGAUGGCAGAUUAGGUAGUUGGUGGGAUAAAAGCUUACCAAGCCGACGAUCUGUAGCUGGUCUGAGAGGACGACCAGCCACACUGGGACUGAGACACGGCCAAGGCUCCUACGGGAGGCAGCAGUGGGGAAUUUUGGACAAUGGGCGAAAGCCUGAUCCAGCCAUGCCGCGUGCAGGAUGAAGGCCUUCGGGUUGUAAACUGCUUUUGUACGGAACGAAAAGACUCUUUCUAAUAAAGAGGGUCCAUGACGGUACCGUAAGAAUAAGCACCGGCUAACUACGUG